AUGCUUUUGUAGUUCAUAAGCGUGAUGAUUGGGUUUUCACGCCAUGUGUCAGAUGUGCCUCCCUCAGACUUUGUUACGAUGUUGGCACAUUCCCUGAUUGAUG
ensembl:snoRNA